AGAGGAAGACGGAGACUUUCCUAAGCACUGCACCUGCACCUUGCUGCCAUGACAAUCCUCUCUCCAGUCUUAGCUGCUUGUAACAAUGAACACGUAUUUCUUGCUCAGGGGUCUGGGGGUUGCAUGCAGUUCUGCUGGGCUCAGUCAGAUCGGCCUCCAGACCGGGGAGGUCUGUCUCUGUGUCUUCUCGUUCCAGCACCUCCGUAAUUCCCCGACAGAUGCCAAAAGCUCGAGGGCUAAGUAGAAGCACGGGAUGCCUCCUGAAGCCGUCACCUGGAGCUGUGACCCCAUCUCUUGACCACAGCAAGUCAGAGGGCCUCAUCCAGAGCAACUGGAGUAUAAGAUCCUCGCAGGGUGUAGAGAGGGCACGUAGCAAUGGACAAAUAAUACGACCUACCUCAACAUGCCAGCUCCGCCACUUCUUCGCCUCAAGAUGUUGGAAAACUUAGCCAAGCUUCAGUUUUGUCAUCGGGGGAGAUGAUAUCGUUUACCUCACAGGGUGAGGGUGAGAUUGGAUGAUGCGCCCUGGGCAAAGUCGCUGCUCGACGUGGGAAAGCUCACAUGCUAUUGUCACUCAUCUGAGGUACUGUUGCAGAAACAUCCUCGGCCAUCCUCCUUCGUCCUGUGAAGACGGAGGCCCCUGCUGUCCCUGGCCCUGCCAUGGCCCCACACUGAUAACCAGUCCAGGUGCCAUCGAAGGCAAUGACAUCCCCCCCAGCCUCAAGCCAGGUCCCCACGCCUGAGGAUGGCACGUCGGAUGGCUAAGGCUGUUUACAGGACAGACUCCGAAGCCUUCCUGGAGGGCACGGCCUCUACCCCCGCCGCCUCCCCAUCUCCUGCCUUCACAGCUUCCUGAGCAAAAUCAGCAGACUAUCUUGAAAUGUGAACUGUCCCGGAGUCAGGGGGGCCUGGCGCGCUGCUGUAUUUCUUUCCUUGUGGGCCUUACAGACUUUCCCUGAUAGCCCCUCCAGAGAGGGAGAUCCCGUGCUGUGGAGCAAGGCCUGGGGUGCUGCGAGGGCUUGGCCACCCCGCUUUGCAGUGGGUACAUUCUGCUGAAAUCAGGCAGUGGCUGUCGGUGAAGGAGGCCCAACCCGGGAGUCAGGGAAGGGCCUGCAUUCCUCACCGGGAGCACAUGGGAAGCGGGGCCCUCCGUCUCUGUCUCAUCCAGCCAAUGCCAAGCGCCUACUCGUCGCUGGGGCCUACACAAGCGCCUAGGGAUUCAGAGACGAAUGAGAUCCACUCCCUGUUCUCAGGGAGCUCACUGUCUAUUCAGGAAAACAAAUACGAAAUGGCGAAAUCGCAUUAUGGGAGCUAUCACAAAGGUACGUAUGUGACGGGAGGAGGCUCUGUCUGGGUUGAAUCUGAAGGAAGUACACGUUUGCAGGGAAGACCUGGGGCUUCCCAGGCAGGUGGGACAGCACAUGCAAAAGCAAAGGGACAUCACAGAGCACAGCGUCUCCACCUCCUAGAAGCAGCUUGCGUGGUGCGGCUGGGCAUAACACGUCAAGGGCCCGUGAAGGGCUAGGCCUCCAGACAGACGGGGGCCAGGCUGUGAAGGCCUCUGUGUGCACGCUCGGGAAUUUGGGUUCUCUCCGUAACAGGAAGCCUGGGAGAGCCACAGGGAUAGACAGACUGGGGUGAGGUGCCAGGGUGAGACACACGGUGGGCAGGCAAUUUCCAGAUGUGUUCACUAGAACACAGGGAAGCUGGCUCCCUCUGUCUCCUGCUGCGAAGGGGGCUCUGGUUACAAGACGGAGACCGGUCAGACCCCGAAACACAACAUCUCACAGCACUGGAAGGCUGAGUUCCGUCAGCCAGUGUGAGCUGUCUUGUAGCCUCACAUAUACUUCCAUGUGGCCAGACCCCAGAGGCCAAGCAGAGGGACACCAGGGUGAGUGUGCCCUUUGGCCCCAGGGGUGACAGCUAUGUUGCAGUCAUGGUCAGGUUCUGCUGGGGCCCAGGGUGGGUAUCCCAGGUGGUGAUGGUGUCAAAGUAUGUUUCCCUCGCUCUUCUCAAGGAUUGGGUCCUUCCUGUCCCCUGGAUGGGCAUUUUAUUAUUCAGGAGUCGUUGCAAGAGGCCUGGGGGACAGACUGAGGCCGAGGUGGGCUCACAGACAGACAGGUAGGGCAGGCCCCACCUCCUCACAUUACCCAGGAAGAGGGCAGAAGCUGGGAGGUGUCAGCGUACCAGCCUUGACCCCUGGAUGGGGAGCUCACAGAACAGCCCGCUCCUGCUUCACCUUCAGGGACUCAACACAGAAGCCAUGUGGGUGGUGGGGGCAGGGAGGGCCUUUCCUUCUCUCCCUCUGGGCAGUACCAGGAUCCAGGUUCCUCAGGGUCCAUCCUGAGGUGCCUAUGGUACCAAAUGCUGAGUUUAGGGAUCAGGAAGCUGUCAUGAGGUCACUGUGCUUGGACACUCCUGGACAGGAGGACCAGCCCUUCCGAGAGGUUCCAAAGCACGAGGGUCAGGGAUGGCCCAGUGUUUCUGGCCAGGACUCUAUAAGUCCCAUGGAGCCUGGCUUCUCCUUUAAUAAUAAUGACAACAGGGGCAGCUAGGUGGCUCA